CCGCCGCCGCCACCCAUGUUCCUCAGGAGCUUGUCCCAUCGCCAACAAAAUCUUCCCUCGGGAUCCCCUUCACACCAACCAGAGCCCGCACCCAUGUUCCAAAUCCUCUCCGACCAACUCCCUCAUCUUGCGUGCCCGACCAACCCACACACCUCGCCUGAUCUCCGUUGCCUCGGCCGUGUGGCCCCGCCGGGCUGCCCGAACCUGUUGGAGUCGCCAUCGUCGGCAGCAAGCCCGUAGCACCACCGGAUCUAGUCCCAUGCAACACCCUGCUCCCUGCAUCUCUCUUUCUCCCAGCCUUCUUCUUCCUCCCCUGCUUUAAUUCAUCUCCAUGUUCAUUUGCUUCCCUGCUAGGAAACGAGUGAAGUCCCGUCGCCCUCCGUCUUCGUCGUAGCGCCACUAGACCAGCAGGUCCGUCGCGCCGCCCGUGCUCCUCCGCACUGGCGAACAACAGCAGGACCGCGCGACCUCCUCUGCCCUCUCCUCAAGCCGGCAGAAGCAGCCACUCCAUCUUGUUGGUUUCUGAACAGGAUGAGCCCUGUCCCCGCCACGAAUUUGACCACCGCCGCCGGAGCUCAACCCCAUGGCCUCCCCGCGGCCUCGCACGUCCAAGUUGCCGACGGCUACAACAGUAGGGAGCCCGACAUGGCAUCCUUGGAGUGUUUAGACAGCAGUAGCGCCUCAAGCUCGUCCGCUCGGAUCCGUGCUUGCGCAGCUGCCUGGAGCUCCAACCGCCGACCGGAUCUACUCAUCCCCGCCAUUGCCGUGCCACUACACCGCCCUUGCAACUCCUGUCGUCCGCCGUUGAUGUCUCUGUUUCACGCACACGCUGGUCAAACUGCUCGCUCGACCCCUCCUAGUCGCACGUUGACCUCCAACGCCCCCAAGGCCCAGCCUAGCAUCAGAUCUGGCCCAAGGCCGCUGGUUCCGAUAACGUCACGUUUGUGAGGAAUCGUUCGACUACAUCCGUUUGUCUUCUUGAUG